rnacentral:rRNA from 1 species
GACGAACGCUGGCGGCGUGCCUAAUACAUGCAAGUAGAACGCACAGUUUAUACCGUAGCUUGCUACACCAUAGACUGUGAGUUGCGAACGGGUGAGUAACGCGUAGGUAACCUGCCUGGUAGCGGGGGAUAACUAUUGGAAACGAUAGCUAAUACCGCAUAAUAUUGAUUAUUGCAUGAUAAUUGAUUGAAAGAUGCUAUUGCAUCACUACCAGAUGGACCUGCGUUGUAUUAGCUAGUAGGUGAGGUAACGGCUCACCUAGGCGACGAUACAUAGCCGACUGGGAGGGUUAUCCGCCAACACUGGGAAUAAAAACCGGCCAGACUCCUACGGGAGGCAGCAGUAGGGAAUCUUCGGCAAUGGACGAAAGUCUGACCGAGCAACGCCGCGUGAGUGAAGAAGGUUUUCGGAUCGUAAAGCUCUGUUGUAAGAGAAGAACGGGUGUGAGAGUGGAAAGUUCACACUGUGACGGUAUCUGACCAGAAAGGGACGGCUAACUACGUG